GAUGAACGCUGGCGGCGUGCCUAAUACAUGCAAGUCGAGCGAACAGACGAGGAGCUUGCUCCUCUGACGUUAGCGGCGGACGGGUGAGUAACACGUGGAUAACCUACCUAUAAGACUGGGAUAACUUCGGGAAACCGGAGCUAAUACCGGAUAAUAUAUUGAACCGCAUGGUUCAAUAGUGAAAGACGGUUUUGCUGUCACUUAUAGAUGGAUCCGCGCCGCAUUAGCUAGUUGGUAAGGUAACGGCUUACCAAGGCAACGAUGCGUAGCCGACCUGAGAGGGUGAUCGGCCAAACUGGAACUAAGACACGGUCCAGACUCCUACGGGAGGCAGCAGUAGGGAAUCUUCCGCAAUGGGCGAAAGCCUGACGGAGCAACGCCGCGUGAGUGAUGAAGGUCUUCGAAUCGUAAAACUCUGUUAUUAGGGAAGAACAAAUGUGUAAGUAACUAUGCACGUCUUGACGGUACCUAAUCAGAGAGCCACGGCUAACUACGUG
rnacentral:rRNA from 1 species